rnacentral:rRNA from 1 species
GGUUGAUCCUGCCGGAGACUACCGCUAUCGGAGUCCGAUUUAGCCAUGCUAGUCCACCGAACCCUUGAGGUUCGGGGCGGAAAGCUGAGUAACACGUGGCCAACCUACCCUGUGGACAGAAAUAACCUUGGGAAACUGAGGAUAAUAUCUGAUAGCAGAGGGAUGCUGGAGAAGCACCUUCUGUGAAACGACACGUCGCCACAGGAUGGGGCCGCGGCUGAUUAGGUUGUCGGUGAGGUAACGGCUCACCGAGCCCGUAAUCAGUAGCAGCCGUGGGAGCGGUAGCUGCCAGUCGUGUUCUGAGACAAGAACACGGGCCCUACGGGGCGCAGCAGGCACGAAACCUUUACAAUGCACGCGAGUGCGAUAGGGGGACUCCGAGUACGUUCUUCCCACAAGGAAGGACGUUUUUCUGCACUGUAAGGAGGUGCCGGAACAAGGGGUGGGCAAGACUGCUGCCAGCCGCCGCGGU